rnacentral:tRNA from 1 species
GUCAAGAUGGCCGAAUUGGUCUAAGGUGCCAGUUUUAGGUAUUGGUCCGAAAGGGCAUGGGUUCAAAUCCCAUUCUUAACA